rnacentral:tRNA from 1 species
UCCCUGGUGGCUCAAACAGUAAAGAAUCUACCUGCAAUGUAGGAGACCUGGGUUCAAUCCCUGGCUUAGGAA